rnacentral:rRNA from 1 species
UACGGAAGGCAGCAGUGGGGAAUAUUGCACAAUGGGCGAAAGCCUGAUGCAGCUAUGCCGCGUGUAUGAAGAAGGCCUUAGGGUUGUAAAGUACUUUCAUCGGGGAGGAAAAACAAAACUAAUAAUUUUAUUUCUUGACGUUACCCGAAAAAGAAGCACCGGCUAACUCCGUGCCAGCAGCCGCGGUAAUACGGAGGGUGCUAGCGUUAAUCAGAAUUACUGGGCGUAAAGAGCACGUAGGUGGUUUUUUUAAGUCAGAUGUGAAAUCCCUGGGCUUAACCUGGAACUGCAUUUUGAAACUGAAAUACUAGAGUAUCGUAGAGGGAGGUAGAAUUCUAGGUGUAGCGGUGAAAUGCGUAGAUAUCUGGAGGAAUACCUGUGGCGAAAGCGGCCUCCUAAACGAAUACUGACACUGAGGUGCGAAAAGCGUGGGGAGCAAACAGGGAUUAGAUACC